AUUGAACGCUGGCGGCAGGCCUAACACAUGCAAGUCGAGCGGAUGAAAGGAGCUUGCUCCUGGAUUCAGCGGCGGACGGGUGAGUAAUGCCUAGGAAUCUGCCUGGUAGUGGGGGACAACGUUUCGAAAGGAACGCUAAUACCGCAUACGUCCUACGGGAGAAAGCAGGGGACCUUCGGGCCUUGCGCUAUCAGAUGAGCCUAGGUCGGAUUAGCUAGUUGGUGAGGUAAUGGCUCACCAAGGCGACGAUCCGUAACUGGUCUGAGAGGAUGAUCAGUCACACUGGAACGGAGACACGGUCCAGACUCCUACGGGAGGUAGCAGUGGGGAAUAUUGGACAAUGGGCGAAAGCCUGAUCCAGCCAUGCCGCGUGUGUGAAGAAGGUCUUCGGAUUGUAAAGCACUUUAAGUUGGGAGGAAGGGUUGUAGAUUAAUACUCUGCAAUUUUGACGUUACCGACAGAAUAAGCACCGGCUAACUCUGUGCCAGCAGCCGCCGUAACAC
rnacentral:rRNA from 1 species